UACUCCCAGCUGUCCCAUGCCCUCCCAGCCCCACCUCUUUCUCUGGCCUCAAGGCCAAUCAGGACAAGGAGGUAACACAAGAGCAGGAAACCCGAGUUAGUGCUGGGAGUACCUGGGGUAAUGCCUUCAGGCAUAACACUAAACAACACAACAAAGGGCCACAUCCAUGUCCCCCCAGGAGAAAGCUGAAGAGGAGGGGAGGGUGACAAGCUUAGACUGCAGAGCCUUAGUCCCUAGGCAAAGCUCAAGUCAGCAGUGCCUUGGGAACUGGGGAGCCAAACAAGCUUUGACAAAUUACUUGACCUGGAAGAAGAGGUCCCUUCUUGGUGACUGAUUUUCCCUCUCUAUUGAUGGAUCUAAGGGAAGACAUCAAUAAAAGAUGGCAAUCUUAAAAGAAGAAAAAAAAUGGGAUCAGCAUCUUGGGAUUCCGCUAACCAGCCUUCUCUAGGCUUCAGUUUCUUCAGUUCCGUAAGACAAGUGGUUUGGGGGGAACCUUCUCCAACAUGCCCAUCUCUCAUUGUAGGGAUGCAAGUAAGAGAAAUAACAUCCAACUCUAACAGCCAAGAAUAAGAGGACAGAGCAAGCCGAGAGAGAACAAGGGGGUGAAACUCGUGGAGGGUGGAGUUCUUCCACGUUAUGGCCAUUCCCACCAUGAGCCCAUUGCCCUCACUCAAUGGUAGCGUGCAGACGGCACUUGCUGGCCCAAGACCUAGGUCCAAGGGAGGACUGUGGGAAAUCUCACACAGGAAACCAGCUCCUGCGUCAUGAAGGGUCAUCAGAGGAAAACCCCCACAUAAUGGAAAACCGAGAAAAACUCCUAUACCAAGGAAUCCCCACUCAGCACUGGACAUGAGCUCUGGAGAAAGUUGUCCCUGAGCCACAAAGUCCCCAAGGCCACAGCGGGCCUGAAGGGAAGAGCAUUAUUGUUGUCACAAAUGCUGGGAGAGCACCUGGUUCCCUGGCUCGGCUGCUCCUGCAGACCAGCAGAGGGAGAGGGGACUGGACUAGCAGGAGACUGGCUGGAGGGCUGUGGAAUUUAGGCUGAGGGGAGGCCACUGAAUCUCCCAGGCACCUGCCACCAUGGAAAUCCAUGUUGGGGGAACCAUAAAAGCAGUAGAGGCCAGACGCGGUGGCUCACACCUGUAAUCCCAGCACCUGGGGAGGCUGAGGAGGGUGGAUCGCCUGAGGUCAGGAGUUCGAGACCAGCCUGACCAACAUGGACAAGAUAAGAGGCAAGGCCCUGCAGAAAACAAAGUCAACAAGAACAAGAGCAGAGGGGGGACCAUGAGAAGCGAGUUUGGGGUAAUAGUGACUAAUCUCACUAUGGGGGCUGACACAGAAGAGGGUACCUGCGGAGGCAAAUGGAAGAAAGAGCCCAACAGGUGGAAUCAUAUUAGAGAGUCUUGAACGCCAAGGUGAGGCAAGCUUUUCAUUCGGUAAAAGAGGAAAUGAGGAUAAGCUCCAGAGGGAUGCAAGGGUGAAGUGCACUCACAAAGCACGAAGGCCCUCAUCGGAGGCUGAUGCCAUUCUUUUGGACUUCCCAGACUCCAGAACCAUGAAUCAAAUGAACAAUUGUUUAGAAAUUAACCCAUCUCUGUUACAGCAACACAAAUCAGCCUAAGAUACCAGGUGAAGAAGGCAGAGAAGCAGUGAGGAGGAAAGGAGGAGAACACAGAUUUUCUCCCUCUCCUCAAUGGAUUUGGGAAAUUGUUUUAAGACUGCAUGCUUGGCAAGAGGGUACUCCACAGCUAUGUGCUUGACGCAAGAGUGAGUGAUUCAUCUCACCACAUCUCAAAAGUCUGUGAGUCAGCUAGUUCUUCCCGGGCUCAGACCUUUGUGAGAGUGGGAUUUGAGUUGACUACGUGUGUUGAAGUGAGGGCGUUGAAGAUUGUGUAAUGGUUUUGUUGCUUUUUAACCAGGGUCAGGAUUGACCUUUGGAGUGU